AUGGUCUUGGCCGCAGCUGGUUCGGCCGUCCUCACCGGAUGGCCGAGGCAACAGGGAACCCGGUGUGAAUCCGGGACUGCCCCGCAGCGGUGAGUGGGAACGACCGCCGUCAACGAAGCACUGGGCCUCGGCCUGGGAAGCGACGGCCAGUAGGAACGCGCACGACGCCCACGAGUCCGAAGACCUGCCAGUGCGCCGCAUGCCGU
rnacentral:ncRNA from 2 species